rnacentral:ncRNA from 2 species
GGCUCAGCCGCUGAGGACGGUCGCAUCCGUGCCAUUAGCGGAUGCCAGGGAACCCGGUGAGAAUCCGGGACUGGCGCGCAGCGGUAUGGGAGUUGGACUCGACACAGGUCACUGGAGGCCGCGAAGGCUUCCGGGAAGGCGUCGAGUCCGGAACAUCCCGAGUCCGAAGACCUGCCGUUCUCGUUGAGUCCAC